rnacentral:tRNA from 1 species
GGGCCCAUGGUUCAAUGGUAGAACGCGUGGCUGGCAGUCAUGAGGCCCGGGUUCGAUUCCCGGUGGGUCCA